GAUGAAGAACGUAGCGAAAUGCGAUAAGUAAUGUGAAUUGCAGAAUUCAGUGAAUCAUCGAAUCUUUGAACGCACCUUGCGCCUUUUGGUAUUCCGAAAGGCACACCUGUUUGAGCGUCAUGAAUACCUCAAUCUCCAUCUUUUCUUCGGAUUGAUGGGUGACUUGGAUGUUGAGCCCUGCUGGUAUGCUAUAUCAGCUGGCUUUAAACUUAUUAGCCGGCUCUGUACUGGAUCGGUUUGACUCGACGUGAUAAUAUUAUCGUUGAGGAUGCAUGUCUCAUGCUGCCGGAAAGUAUCAAAGCAGCUUCUAGCUUGCCUUUAGUGCACUUUUACAUUUUAGACCUCAGAUCAGGUGGGACUACCCGCUGAACUUAAGCAUAUCAAUAAGCGGAGGA
rnacentral:misc_RNA from 1 species